CCGCCGUGCCCGCGGCGCGCAUGGAGCUGUCGGCCAUCGGCGAGCAGGUGUUCGCCGUGGAGAGCAUCCGCAAGAAGCGCGUGCGGAAGGGUAAAGUAGAAUACCUGGUGAAGUGGAAAGGAUGGCCCC